UCCCUGGUCUCACGUUGCUGGGAGGAGCCGCUCCGUGUGAUCUGGAUUUGCACGCGUCCAAUGGCCUUGCUCUCUAGAGCUGGAUAGACUUUGGAGAAAAGUCUGUCCAUGUCCUCUGUCCAUUUUCUAAUUGAGCUGCUGCUUUUUAUUGUUGAGUUAGGAGUUUUCAUAUAUUCUGUAUGUUAUAUAUAUGUAUUCUGUAUAAUAGGCCCUUUAUUAGAUAGGUGACUCACAAAUAUCUUUAUUCAUUGUGUAGGUUGUCUUUUCAUUUUCUUGAUGGGGUCAUUUGAAGCACAGAAGCUUUUCAUUUUGAUAAAGUCUACUUCAUCAAUUUUUUUCUGUUGCUACUGCUUUUUUUUCCUUAGUCGCACUGUGCAGCAUGUGGGAUCUUAGUUCCCCAACCAGGGAUGGAACCUGUGCCCCCUACAGGGGAAGCGUGCAGUCCUAACCGCAGGGCCACAGGGAAGCACCCUGUCGCUCAGGCAUCCGCUUCAGCAAGGCGUGCUCCUAGAAGCCUCAGGAGUCCCUGCCUGGCACACGUCUGACCUCUCCUUUCCUCACACUCAGGGCCAGGUGCGUGGUGUGCUCUGCUGCGGCUCGGCUCUUCUCCUGGGCCUCCUGGCUCCCUUCCUGUUCCUGCUCAUCUCACUGUGGCAGGGUCUCCCAGGCGGCUGGGAGGGGAGUUGGGAAGUGGAAGUGUUAGGAGUGUGCAUGCAAGCCGUGAUGCGCCAACCUGGGUGCCACCUACCCAGGCGGAGUAGUCUUCUCCCCUGCUGAUCAGACAGACCAGAGCACUUACAACAGGGAGCCAGCUUCACUCAUUUGUUCUCCAAGGCUCUUUGGUGCCCUGGGGUGUUUGGGUUUUCUGUCUUGCAGCAUUGGACAUGGAGAAGCUGGAGACCCUGAUGGCCCUGGAAUGAGCAGAAAUAACAGCCAAAUAUGAGCAAGUGAGGCCUGGCAGGGGUCAGAGCCCAGGACAGGCAGGGCCAGUCAGGGGCUCCAGUGGAACACGGGGAAGAUGCUGACCUCUCGCUGCAGGAAGUCACCACACCUAUACUGAGGAGCUGCCUAGCUUCAGCACUCAGGACCUCAGCAUCCGCUCGGCAAAGGGUCUGACAGGGCGGUGUCAGGACCGUGGGGCUCCGCACUCCUCCUGGGCUCUUUUAGGUCAGAGUGAUGGGAGCCUGAGCCCUCAGCAGCCGUCCAGUCCUCGUGGACCCCGAGCCAGGCGAGUGCCGAAGGACGCGAGGAGCGGGAGAUGACCGGGGGGAAGAAAGCGAGCCCCUGCCGAGGUCCACCCGCCUG